AACAUAACACAAAUGGAAAUUGGAAAUUAGGUUUGUUGUUUUGACUCAAUUGUCUCUGACGAAGAGCACAGUCGACGAGUUCGAAGAAAGAACACAGUCGUCGAUUGAACUCUUCUUCGAAGACGACGGUGCUGGUCGACGGAAAAACUUGAUAUUCCGCAAACAACCAGAUCUGUCCAACAUCUGAUUUUUCUUGUUUCUGGCUAAAUAUGACAGCCAAGUACAUAGUAUCUGCUGUUUUGGGAUCUUUUGCUAUCUCAUACUCAUUUGACUAUUUGAUGGCUGACAAGAAGAUAUUUGGAGGCACUACCCCAAAAACUGUUUCGAACAAAGAAUGGUGGGAAGAGACUGACAAGAAGUUCCAGGCAUGGCCUCGGACAGCAGGUUCUCCCGUUGUUAUGAACCCCAUCAGUCGCCAGAAUUUUAUUGUCAAGUCAAAUGUCGAAGCUUGAAGCUCCACAACUAGCAUGUGAUCUGUCACAAUGCUUUUUCGUUUGAUGUGCAAUUUCAAACAAAGCUAUACUUAAGUUUGGACUGUAAUGGCUUUCAUACUCGUUUAUUUGCCUUAAUGUUUUUGGACAGGUUCUUCUUGAUAUGCUGCAGACUAGAGCUUAAUAAAUGUUUGUGGGGCAAUCAUGUACUUGUUUCAUAUGAUUAUUUGGUAUGUUAAAUUCUAAAUUUUAUCUCAA